AAUGAACGCUGGCGGCGCGCCUAAUACAUGCAAGUCGAGCGAGAAGACGUAGCAAUACGUUUGUAAAGCGGCGAACGGGUGAGGAAUACAUGGGUAACCUACCCUCGAGUGGGGAAUAACUAGCCGAAAGGUUAGCUAAUACCGCGUACGCUUCUUGGACUUCGGUUCAGGGAGGAAAGCGAUAGCCGAGGGUAUCGCGCUCUUGGAUGGGCUCAUGUCCUAUCAGCUUGUUGGNGAGGUAACGGCUCACCAAGGCUUCGACGGGUAGCUGGUCUGAGAGGACGAUCAGCCACACUGGCACUGCGACACGGGCCAGACUCCUACGGGAGGCAGCAGUAAGGAAUAUUGCGCAAUGGGCGAAAGCCUGACGCAGCGACGCCG
rnacentral:rRNA from 1 species